UCACGGUAUCAAGCUUGGCUUGUUGUUGGGCUCUUUGUCACCUGGUGACAGGUCCGAAAGACAAUGACCGGUGGAACAGACUCCAUAUGCAACGAGCUUAUAAAAGCACGCAUCUGGCAGUUGUGUGACCCGGUUUUAACCUAUAUUUUCUGUUCUUAA
rnacentral:misc_RNA from 1 species